GACGAACGCUGGCGGCGUGCUUAACACAUGCAAGUCGAACGGAAAGGCCCUGCUUUUUUGGGGUGCUCGAGUGGCGAACGGGUGAGUAACACGUGAGUAACCUGCCCUUGACUUUGGUAUAACUUCAGGAAACUGGGGCUAAUACCGUAUAGGAUCUCCUGCUGCAUGGUGGGGGUUGGAAAUUUUCGGCGGUUGGGGUUGGACUCGCGGCUUAUCAGCUUGUUGGUGGGGUAGUGGCUUACCAAGGCUUUGACGGGUAGCCGGCCUGAGAGGGUGACCGGCAACAUGGGGCCUGAGAUACGGACCAGACUCCUACGGGAGGCAGAAGUGGGGAAUAUUGCACAAUGGGAGGAAGCCUGAUGCAGAAACGCCGCGUGCGGGAUGACGGCCUUCGGGUUGUAAACCGCUUUAGCCUGUGACGAAGCGUGAGUGACGGUAAUGGGUAAAGAAGCACCGGCUAACUACGUG
rnacentral:rRNA from 1 species